rnacentral:rRNA from 1 species
AACCAGCACCUCAAGUGGUCAGGAUGAUUAUUGGGCCUAAAGCAUCCGUAGCCGGCUCUGUAAGUUUUCGGUUAAAUCUGUACGCUUAACGUACAGGCUGCCGGGAAUACUGCAGAGCUAGGUAGUGGGAGAGGUAGACGGUACUCGGUAGGAAGGGGUAAAAUCCUUUGAUCUAUUGAUGACCACCUGUGGCGAAGGCGGUCUACCAGAACACGUACGACGGUGAGGGAUGAAAGCUGGGGGAGCAAACCGGAUUAGAUACCCGGGUAGUCCCAGCUGUAAACUAUGCAAACUCAGUGAUGCAUUGGCUUGUGGCCAAUGCAGUGCUGCAGGGAAGCCGUUAAGUUUGCCGCCUGGGAAGUACGUACGCAAGUAUGAAACUUAAAGGAAUUGGCGGGGGAGCACCACAAGGGGUGAAGCCUGCGGUUCAAUUGGAGUCAACGCCAGAAAUCUUACCCGGAGAGACAGCAGAAUGAAGGUCAAGCUGAAGACUUUACCAGACAAGCUGAGAGGUGGUGCAUGGCCGUCGCCAGCUCGUGCCGUGAGAUGUCCUGUUAAGUCAGGUAACGAGCGAGAUCCCUGCCUCUAGUUGCCACCAUUACCCUCAGGAGUAGUGGGGCGAAUUAGCGGGACCGCCGCAGUUAAUGCGGAGGAAGGAAGGGGCCACGGCAGGUCAGUAUGCCCCGAAACUCUGGGGCCACACGCGGGCUGCAAUGGUAACGACAAUGGGUUUCGAAUUCGAAAGGAUGAGGUAAUCCUCAAACGUUACCACAGUUAUGACUGAGGGCUGCAACUCGCCCUCACGAAUAUGGAAUCCCUAGUAACUGCGUGUCACUAUCGCGCGGUGAAUACGUCCCUGCUCCU